rnacentral:rRNA from 1 species
GACUUAGGGCGCGAGCGUUGUCCGGAUUCACUGGGCGUAAAGGGUGCGUAGGUGGUGAGGUAAGUCGGAUGUGAAAGCUCGGAGCUCAACUCCGAAAUGGCAUUGGAAACUACCUUGCUCGAGGGUUGGAGGGGGGACUGGAAUACUUGGUGUAGCAGUGAAAUGCGUAGAUAUCAAGUGGAACACCAGUGGCGAAGGCGAGUCCCUGGACAACUCCUGACACUGAGGCACGAAAGCUAGGGGAGCAAACAGG